GAGUCGGUAGUGCAAUCGGUAGUGCAUACGCUCCCAGAUAGAGUGAGAUCUGGGUCCGAAUCCCGGCUGACGCA